rnacentral:rRNA from 1 species
GAUGAACGCUGGCGGCGUGCUUAACACAUGCAAGUCGAACGGAAAGGCUCCUGCUUGCAGGGGUACUCGAGUGGCGAACGGGUGAGUAACACGUGGGUGAUCUGCCCUGCACUUCGGGAUAAGCCUGGGAAACUGGGUCUAAUACCGGAUAGGACGAUGGUUUGGAUGCCAUUGUGGAAAGUUUUUUCGGUGUGGGAUGAGCUCGCGGCCUAUCAGCUUGUUGGUGGGGUAAUGGCCUACCAAGGCGUCGACGGGUAGCCGGCCUGAGAGGGUGUACGGCCACAUUGGGACUGAGAUACGGCCCAGACUCCUACGGGAGGCAGCAGUGGGGAAUAUUGCACAAUGGGCGCAAGCCUGAUGCAGCGACGCCGCGUGGGGGAUGACAGCCUUCGGGUUGUAAACUCCUUUCGCUAGGGACGAAGCGCAAGUGACGGUACCUGGAGAAGAAGCACCGGCUAACUACGUG